GUCUGUGGUCAUACCACCCUGAAUGUGCCCUGUCUUGUCUGAUACUGGAAGCUAAGCAGGGUUGGGCCUAGUUAGUACUUGGGGGGAAGGGAGAAAGAGCUCUUUAUAUC
ensembl:rRNA 5S_rRNA 5S ribosomal RNA